CCAUUAACUCUUUAUUUUUUCAAUUGCAAUUUUUAAAUUAUGUUGUUCAGAAUUUCACUUUUCUUUUUUUAAAUUCAAUUUAAGUAGGAAAGAUCGAGAAGUUGACUAUCACGAGCCCCCAUUCUCCAUUCACACCCAUACCCACACGGCCACACCCACACCGACAUUCUUUUAGGAAUAGAAUUAAAUACAAUCCUCACCAUUAAUGUCACCAUAUCCACCGUUAGUUUCUUAAACUGUACAUUCGCCCUUACUUGCCGCAAAUCUUGGCAAAUCACCGCAGACCAGACACAACUCUACCACGUUGUCUUCGGGAUCGCACCCUUGUUAAAGCUUUGAAAGCAGAGGAUAAACUACAUUAAGCUAUAUUACAAUGCGAGCGAGAUGUUUGGUGUGGUAUGGCUGGACAAGAAGAUUAGCUCCGAUUGGAGGGGAGAGCAGUUGCCACUGGUGAGAAUCUCAUGAGACACUUUGAAGUUCUCGCACAGGGACACCGUUCCGCGACCAGCAUUAUGGUCAGGUGGCCAGGCUCACAUCUUGGCAGAACCCGGCCAACACACGAAGGACAUGAUGGAGUAGAAACGUCAGCUCCGAAAAUUAGCAACGCAGACCCAAGCUCUUUAAAUAGAGCUCCUCCUCCGCCAAAAUGCAAAGACCGAGUGAAUUUGAGAGAGAAACUGAAGUGAAGAAGAAGAAGACUAGCUCCUCCUCCGCCAAAAUGCAAAGACCGAGUGAAUUUGAGAGAGAAACUGAAGUGAAGAAGAAGAAAACUGUGUGUUUGGAUUGUGAUUUGUUAAAGUGAGGUUUAAAUAAAAGUGAUUUUAUAGAA